rnacentral:rRNA from 1 species
GACGAACGCUGGCGGCGUGCUUAACACAUGCAAGUCGAACGGACAGGCCCUGCUUUUGUGGGGUGCUCGAGUGGCGAACGGGUGAGUAACACGUGAGUAACCUGCCCUUGACUUUGGGAUAACUUCAGGAAACUGGGGCUAAUACCGGAUAGGAGCUCCUGCUGCAUGGUGGGGGUUGGAAAGUUUCGGCGGUUGGGGAUGGACUCGCGGCUUAUCAGCUUGUUGGUGGGGUAGUGGCUUACCAAGGCUUUGACGGGUAGCCGGCCUGAGAGGGUGACCGGACACAUUGGGACUGAGAUACGGCCCAGACUCCUACGGGAGGCAGCAGAGGGGAAUAUUGCACAAUGGGCGGAAGCCUGAUGCAGCAACGCCGCGUGCGGGAUGACGGCCUUCGGGUUGUAAACCGCUUUCGCCUGUGACGAAGCGGGAGUGACGGUAAUGGGUAAAGAAGCACCGGCUAACUACGUG